GGUGAUGUCAUGAUUUGGGAGGUUGGUGGCCGUGAAAGGAUUGCUAUUAGAAAUUUUAAAGUCUGGGAUCUUUCAGCAUGUUCAGUGCCUCUACAGGCAUCGUUGGCCAGUGAUUAUACUGCAUCAAUCAACCGUGUAAUGUGGAGCCCUGAUGGAACUCUUUUUGGUGUUGCAUAUUCAAAGCAUAUCGUGCACAUAUAUUCCUAUCAGGCUGGCGAUGAAUUAAGAAACCACUUAGAGAUUGAGGCUCAUGUUGGCAGUGUCAAUGAUCUUGCCUUUUCAUAUCCAAACAAGCAGCUAUGCUUGGUUACCUGUGGGGAAGAUAGGGUUAUUAAGGUGUGGGAUGCAGUCACUGGAGUUAAACAGUUUACUUUUGAGGGUCAUGAUGCACCUGUGUAUUCUAUAUGUCCACAUCACAAGGAGAACAUUCAGUUUAUCUUUUCAACAGCAGCUGACGGAAAAAUAAAGGCAUGGUUAUA
rnacentral:misc_RNA from 1 species